ACUAAACCACUUCAGUGUUUAAUAUGAAAGUGGGUAGGGUUGAUCAAUUUCACAAUAUAUGGAUGGUUGCUUAUAUAAAUGAAGUUCAUUUAUAUCUCAGUUAAUGAGAUAAAGGAAAGAUGUUGAUUUUAUGUUGAAGAUCGCCGAAGAGUUGCUUAUAUAGUGAAGUUCAUUUAUAUUCCAAUAUUAACGAGAGAAGGGAAGAUGUUGAUUUUUAUGUUGAAGAUCAUGGAAGAGAGAAAUAAACCACUUCAUUGCUUGAUUUGAAAGUGGUUAUGGUUGAUAGUUUUCACAAUAUAUGGAUGAUUGCUUAUAUAAUGAAGUUCAUUUAUAUCCUAAUAUUAAUGAGAGAAGGGGAAGAUGCUGAUUUUUAUGUUGAAGAUUAUCGAAGAGAGAAAUAAACCACUUCAGUGCUUGAUAUGAAGGUGGAUAUGGUUGAUCGUUUUCACAACAUAUGGAUGGUUGUUUAUAUAAAUGAUUUCAUGUAUAUCCCAAAGUUAAUGAGAUAUGGGAAAGAUGCUGAUUUUUAUGUUGAAGAUGGCUAAAGAGUGUUGCCUAUAUGAGAGUGAUUUCUCAUAAUGAAGAGUGAAGAUGAAAGUGUUAAUCUCUUACACUUGGGAAGCAACAGACAGUCUCAUAUUUCAAAGCCUUAAAACGCAUUACUGAAACAUGGAAAGUAAAAAAGGGAAUGUACGAAUUAAGAGGAUGGUUGAUUGAUAAAGGAAUGGUGGAUUCAAAAUUCUCUAUCAUUGCUAUCAUGGGUGAUUGUUGAAGCUUUAGUUCAAACCCAAACAUGAAAUAAUAGCACUCAUGGCUUCUAAAUCUUCCUCAAGUGUAUUUGUUUUCUAAACAUUAAUAGAUGACUUCAUGUCUUUACAGUUACAAUUCUAGUUUACCAGUUUUUUUUUCCAUACUUAUUGUGGAUUAAUGUAUCUUUUGGAGUGGUACUUCAAUGAUGGUUAUUUUUUGUGUCC